GAGAGGGAAACUUUGCUUCUUGUUAUAAUCUGCCAGUCUUUGGGCGGCAGCAGCUGUCAUGGGACCCGGUGGGCGGGGAGAGUCUUGCAAGCCGACUCCUUGCGGUGAGACGCGACUUUGAGGAAGUGAAAUUACUCCGUCAAAGGAACUGUGCAGGCGUUUGGUAAACACAUUUCUGGAUUGCCUUCUAGAAAUAGUGUGCUAAUUUACACACUUACCAGCAUCGUGUGGGAACGCCUGGUUCUCCAUAUCCAGAUAACUCUUGGUAUUUGUAUCGUUUUUCAUUUUUACCAGCCUGUUCAUCAAUAAAUUCUGUCACCCUUAUUGUUUUAAUGUG